rnacentral:rRNA from 1 species
AGGACGAACGCUGGCGGCGGGUUUAACACAUGCAAGUCGAGGGACGAAACCAUCUUCGGAUGGCUGAAACCGGCGAACGGGUGAGUAACACGUGACCAACCUGCCCUUCACUCAGGGAUAACAGCGGGAAACCGUUGCUAACACCUGAUACCGCGUACGGACCGCAUGGUCUGUUCGUGAAACUCCGGUGGUGAAGGAGGGGGUCGCGGCCUAUCGAGGUAGUUGGUAGAGGUAACGGCUCACCAAGGCUUCGAUGGGUAGCUGGUCUGAGAGGACGAUCAGCCACACUGGGACUGACGACACGGCCCAGACUCCGUACGGGACGGACAGCAGGUGGGGAAUCGUUGCGCAAUGCGACGAAAGCGUAG